UUCAUCGUGUUAUUCUUCUUGUUGUGCUGAUAAGAUGAUAAGGUCUCUUCUAUUACGUUAUUUAUAGUGUGGAGCUUGUUUUCAAGUCUCCGAUUAUUUUACUGUUACAUAGAGUAAGUCUCAGUUUGUUCGUUAUUGCGUCAAGUAUUUCUCCCGAGAGCGUAGCAGCACAAAAAUAUUGAUUGCGUUUUUAAGAAAAAAAUAAAAUAAAUCGAGUUUUUAAUUGGUAUUAUCCAGAUAAAUCAUCAUGUCAAAAUUUGUUAUUGCACUGUUAAUAUUUUCAAUUGCGGCGCAUUGCUUUGUUUCCAUAGAAUCUCGCAGUUGGGGUAUUCCAAAUAUUUGUUUACAACCACCUCCCAGAUCUGAGGGUAUUUGCACGAUUGAGAUUGAAGGAUAUUAUUUUGAUGCUCAAAAGAAUAACUGUGAGAAGUAUACUGUGGGAGGCUGUCGUCUAUCGGGUGGUCAAAGCUUUGGUUCGCUCCAAGAUUGUUUAGCAACAUGCGUUCAUGCUACCAGACGUAUUCAAGACAUAAGACAGGAGUAAAAUUUAAAAUGCUACGAAUUAAUAUAAUUAAAUAAUAAAAGAAAUAAUGUUAAACAAAA